GCGACAGUGAACACAGGCCUGGAAAGGGCUUAUUGACUGGCCAGCAGCCAGGAAUGCAGUCAAAGAGCAUGGAAAACUUUAUGCCAUUUAUGAAACCAGGUGGGAGCUCAGAAUGUGUGCAGCAGUGGCCUGAACUGGAGGAUCUAUAGCACAUUGUGGAGACUGUCGGAGCCCAUUUGCCAUCAGGAGGCACUCUUAUGUUCAGUACAGGGAACAGAAAUGAAGGAAAGUAUAACUUGAUGGCAAAGUUAUAGUUGGUAUACCAAGUAUUUCUGACUGUGCAUGCUAAAAAUAACUAAAAUCAACCCAUGUACAGUCUUUUCUUUGUACCACACAUUCAUACAGAUGGGAUUUAAUUUUUAAGAUCAGAGGAAGUUCCAAUUCCCUCUCCGCAGCACUACUGGGCUGAAUUCUGUUGGAAAGAACAACCCCAAAGAAAGAAAAAGAGUGAUUCCCAACAGUGCCACCAGCAGAAGAGACAUCAACAGUGGCAAGAAGGAAGAAGUAACAACUGCUCAGGAGACUCCUGGCAUGUGCGGGAGUUCUUGGGGACAAGUUGAUCUAGCAUCCCUGAGAGGAGCUUAACUAAGCAGAGUGGUUAAUGAACAGCUUUGAAGUGAAGUGGGUUAUUUAGAAAUGAGUGUUUCCAGUAAGCAGAGAAGACAGAGCCUGCCCUGUACUGGAUUUCUUUGCCUUUGAAACCUCAAGUAGGACAGUGUGUCUCAAAUCUGCAGACUUGCAUAUCAGUUGUACAGAACCUUAAGGGCACAAGUGGGACUGGUCUAUCUACUGGGAUGUCAUUCAAUCUAAUUAUACUUACAGCAGAAAUAAAGCUCACAGAAGU